rnacentral:rRNA from 1 species
UUUAACUGAAGAGUUUGAUCAUGAGCUCAGAUUGAACGCUGGCGGCAGGCUUAACACAUGCAAGUCGAGCGGAGAGAGGUAGCUUGCUACUGAUCUUAGCGGCGGACGGGUGAGUAAUGCUUAGGAAUCUGCCUAUUAGUGGGGGACAACAUUUCGAAAGGAAUGCUAAUACCGCAUACGUCCUACGGGGAGAAAGCAGGGGAUCUUCGGACCUUGCGCUAAUAGAUGAGCCUAAGUCGGAUUAGCUAGUUGGUGGGGUAAAGGCCUACCAAGGCGACGAUCUGUAGCGGGUCUGAGAGGAUGAUCCGCCACACUGGGACUGAGACACGGCCCAGACUCCUACGGGAGGCAGCAGUGGGGAAUAUUGGACAAUGGGCGCAAGCCUGAUCCAGCCAUGCCGCGUGUGUGAAGAAGGCCUUAUGGUUGUAAAGCACUUUAAGCGAGGAGGAGGCUACUUUAGUUAAUACCUAGAGAUAGUGGACGUUACUCGCAGAAUAAGCACCGGCUAACUCUGUGCCAGCAGCCGCGGUAAUACAGAGGGUGCAAGCGUUAAUCGGAUUUACUGGGCGUAAAGCGCGCGUAGGCGGCUAAUUAAGUCAAAUGUGAAAUCCCCGAGCUUAACUUGGGAAUUGCAUUCGAUACUGGUUAGCUAGAGUGUGGGAGAGGAUGGUAGAAUUCCAGGUGUAGCGGUGAAAUGCGUAGAGAUCUGGAGGAAUACCGAUGGCGAAGGCAGCCAUCUGGCCUAACACUGACGCUGAGGUGCGAAAGCAUGGGGAGCAAACAGGAUUAGAUACCCUGGUAGUCCAUGCCGUAAACGAUGUCUACUAGCCGUUGGGGCCUUUGAGGCUUUAGUGGCGCAGCUAACGCGAUAAGUAGACCGCCUGGGGAGUACGGUCGCAAGACUAAAACUCAAAUGAAUUGACGGGGGCCCGCACAAGCGGUGGAGCAUGUGGUUUAAUUCGAUGCAACGCGAAGAACCUUACCUGGCCUUGACAUAGUAAGAACUUUCCAGAGAUGGAUUGGUGCCUUCGGGAACUUACAUACAGGUGCUGCAUGGCUGUCGUCAGCUCGUGUCGUGAGAUGUUGGGUUAAGUCCCGCAACGAGCGCAACCCUUUUCCCUUAUUUGCCAGCGAGUAAUGUCGGGAACUUUAAGGAUACUGCCAGUGACAAACUGGAGGAAGGCGGGGACGACGUCAAGUCAUCAUGGCCCUUACGGCCAGGGCUACACACGUGCUACAAUGGUCGGUACAAAGGGUUGCUACCUAGCGAUAGGAUGCUAAUCUCAAAAAGCCGAUCGUAGUCCGGAUUGGAGUCUGCAACUCGACUCCAUGAAGUCGGAAUCGCUAGUAAUCGCGGAUCAGAAUGCCGCGGUGAAUACGUUCCCGGGCCUUGUACACACCGCCCGUCACACCAUGGGAGUUUGUUGCACCAGAAGUAGCUAGCCUAACUGCAAAGAGGGCGGUUACCACGGUGUGGCCGAUGACUGGGGUGAAGUCGUAACAAGGUAGCCGUAGGGGAACCUGCGGCUGGAUCACCUCCUUAA